GGGGUCGUAGUAUAACGGCUAGUACACGUCCAUGGCAUGGAUGAAAUGGGAGUUCGAUUCUCCCCGACUCCACCA
rnacentral:tRNA from 1 species